rnacentral:rRNA from 1 species
CAGCAGCCACGGGAAUACCAGCACCUCGAGUGGUCAGGAGGUUUAUUGGGCCUAAAGCAUCCGUAGCCGGUUGCAUAAGUUUUCGGUUAAAUCUAUGUGCUUAACGUAUAGGCCGCCGAAAAUACUGUGCAGCUAGGGAGUGGGAGAGGUACACGGUACUCGAUAGGAAGGGGUAAAAUCCUUUGAUCUAUUGAUGACCACCUGUGGCGAAGGCGGUGUACCAGAACACGUUCGACGGUGAGGGAUGAAAGCUGGGGGAACAAACCGGAUUAGAUACCCCGGUAGUCCCUGUCUCUUAUAC